AAAAAAAAAAAAAAAAAAAAAAAAAAAAAAAAAAAAAAAA
rnacentral:piRNA from 1 species